GACGAACGCUGGCGGCGUGCUUAACUCAUGCAAGUCGAACGGAAAGGCCCUGCUUUUGUGGGGUGCUCGAGUGGCGAACGGGUGAGUAACACGUGAGUAACCUGCCCUUGACUUUGGGAUAACUUCAGGAAACUGGGGCUAAUACCGGAUAGGAGCUCCUGCUGCAUGGUGGGGGUUGGAAAGUUUCGGCGGUUGGGGAUGGACUCGCGGCUUAUCAGCUUGUUGGUGGGGUAGUGGCUUACCAAGGCUUUGACGGGUAGCCGGCCUGAGAGGGUGACCGGCCACAUUGGGACUGAGAUACGGCCCAGACUCCUACGGGAGGCAGCAGUGGGGAAUAUUGCACAAUGGGCGGAAGCCUGAUGCAGUAACGCCGCGUGCGGGAUGACGGCCUUCGGGUUGUAAACCGCUUUCGCCUGUGACGAAGCGUGAGUGACGGUAAUGGGUAAAGAAGCACCGGCUAACUACGUG
rnacentral:rRNA from 1 species